UACAGAGGGUGCGAGCGUUGUUCGGAAUUAUUGGGCGUAAAGGGCGCGUAGGCGGUGCGGUAAGUCACCUGUGAAAUCUCCUGGCUCAACUGGGAGCUUGCAGGCGAAACUGCCGUGCUGGAGUGUGGGAGAGGUGCGUGGAAUUCCUGGUGUAGCGGUGAAAUGCGUAGAUAUCGGGAGGAACACCUGUGGCGAAAGCGGCUCACUGGACCACUACUGACGCUGAGGCGCGAAAGCUAGGGGAGCAAACAGG
rnacentral:rRNA from 1 species